rnacentral:rRNA from 1 species
GACGAACGCUGGCGGCGUGCCUAAUACAUGCAAGUUGAGCGCUGAAGGUUGGAACUCGUACUAACUGGAUGAGCAGCGAACGGGUGAGUAACGAGUGGGUAAUCAGCUUUUGAGCGGGGGACAACAUCUGGAAACGAAUGACAAUACCGCAUAAAAACUUCAAACACAAGAUUUAAGUUUGCAAGAUGCAUUUGCCUCACUAAAAGAUGAUCCCGCGUUGUAUUAGCUAGCUGGUGAGGUAAAGGCUCACCAAGGCGAUGAUACAUAGCCGAGCUGCGAGGGAGAUCGGCCACAUUGGGACUGAGACACGGCCCAAACUCCUACGGGAGGCAGCAGUAGGGAAUCUUCGGCAAUGGACGAAAGUCUGACCGAGCAACGCCGCGUGAGGGAAGAAGGUUGUCGGAUCGUAAAACUCUGUUGGUAGAGAAGAACGUUGGUGAGAGUGGAAAGCUCAUCAAGUGACGGUAACUACCCAGAAAGGGACGGCUAACUACGUG